CCUACGGGAGGCAGCAGUGGGGAAUAUUGGACAAUGGGGGGAACCCUGAUCCAGCGACGCCGCGUGAGUGAAGAAGUAUUUCGGUAUGUAAAGCUCUAUCAGCAGGGGAGAAAGAAAUGACGGUACCUGACUACGAAGCCCCGGCUAACUACGUGCCAGCAGCCGCGGUAAUACGUAGGGGGCAAGCGUUAUCCGGAUUUACUGGGUGUAAAGGGAGCGUAGACGGCGAUGCAAGUCUGAAGUGAAAGGCGGGGGCCCAAACCCCGGACUGCUUUUGAAACUGUAUGGCUGGAGUGCAGGAGAGGUAAGCGGAAUGCCUAGUGUAGCGGUGAAAUGCGUAGAUAUUAGGAGGAACACCAGUGGCGAAGGCGGCUUACUGGACUGUAACUGACGUUGAGGCUCGAAAGCGUGGGGAGCAAACAGGAUUAGAUACCCCUGUAGUC
rnacentral:rRNA from 1 species